rnacentral:SRP_RNA from 1 species
AGCCGGGGUGGUAGCGGUACCUUGUACCUGCAAUCCGCUAUAGCAGGGGUGAUACUGUGCCGAGGGCAUCGCAUUGCAGAGCUGCCCUUGAUCAGCUGAUGCCGAUGUUCGGGUCUUACGCAGCGGAACUUCAUGAACCGUGUCAGGUCGGGAACGAAGCAGCACUAAGUGAAAUCUUCCGGGUGCCGUAAGGGUGCCUGGGCUGAGUCAGCUGCCAAGGUAACGUCUGGGAUCGAUCG